GCGUAUUGGCCCGGCCCGGCUGGGAGCGAUGAUGACGAUUGUCAUUGCCCGCAUCACACAGGACACCGGCCAGUAUUAUUGACUAAAAUCACGGGCCACGUGGUUUUGGUGGGAGGGGCAUGGGUGACCGCACUUCGUACUGACAUCUCCGAUCAGGGGGAUCUUCUUGAAGCCCCAGGUCUGAGUGGCAUUGUCGGGCAUGGCUCAGGAGCCCGGAAGGUCAAGGGGGAAGAUCUGGAGGCAGAAGUCCACAGUCAAGGUGUCAGGAGGGCCGACCUUCCUCCCAAAGGCUCCAGGGAGGAAUCCAGUAUUUUCUCCAGCUGCUGGUGGCCGUGGAGCUCCGCUCUCUGCCUACAUCUCCACAGCCUUUUCUGAGUCUUUCCCUCUUCUGAUAUGGAGGGAGCGCCCAGCAUGUUCCAGGGCCAGUCACGGGGAGCUGAAACCAUCCCAGCAGAUUCCGUGCCCGCCCUCACGGAGCUGACCUUGCAGUGGGGGAGGCAGACCCAGAAAACCAGAAACACAACUGCACGUUGCAGGGAGAGCUGCCAAGGGAACAAGGGAGAGGCAAGGCCAG